UUGAGAAAACUCCACAAUUAAAC
rnacentral:snRNA from 1 species